UACGAAGGGGGCUAGCGUUGUUCGGAUUUACUGGGCGUAAAGCGCACGUAGGCGGAUCUUUAAGUCGGGGGUGAAAUCCUGGAGCUCAACUCCAGAACUGCCUUCGAUACUGGCGAUCUUGAGUCCGGAAGAGGUGAGUGGAACGCCUAGUGUAGAGGUGGAAUUCGUAGAUAUUAGGAAGAACACCAGGGGCGAAGGCGGCGCACUGGUCCGGUACUGACGCUGAGGUGCGAAAGCGUGGGGAGCAAACAGG
rnacentral:rRNA from 1 species